CUACGGGGCGCUCCAGUGAGGAAUAUUGGUCAAUGGGCGCGAGCCUGAACCAGCCAUCCCGCGUGCAGGAUGACGGCCCUAUGGGUUGUAAACUGCUUUUCUAUGCCAAGAAACCUGAUUACGUGUAAUCAGUUGCCGGUAGCAUAGGAAUAAGCAUCGGCUAACUCCGGGCCAGCAGCCGCGGUAAUACGGAGGAUGCAAGCGUUAUCCGGAUUCAUUGGGUUUAAAGGGUGCGCAGGUGGGCUUGUAAGUCAGUGGUGAAAUGCUGCCGCUUAACGGUAGAACUGCCAUUGAUACUGCGAGUCUUGAGUAUGGUUGAGGUAGGCGGAAUGUGUUGUGUAGCGGUGAAAUGCAUAGAUAUGACAUAGAACGCCAAUUGCGAAGGCAGCUUACUAAGCCAUUACUGACGCUGAGGCACGAAAGCGUGGGGAGCGAACAGGAUUAGAUACCCCGGUAGUC
rnacentral:rRNA from 1 species